CGAGAGGGGGCGCGGCGGGAGCCGGCCCGGGAGAGGCUGGUUAGCGGGCCGCGGCCAGAGGCGCUGGCGCAUCCAAGACCUGAGGAGGAGCCAAGGCUGGUUAAGCUGGUGGAGCAAUGCCGUCCCCACCCCCAGCCUUCCCUGCCCAUCCCCUCGCCCCUCUCGGUUAACUGCGCUGGGGUUUAUCCUCAGGGGACGACCCUGUGCCUGAACCCAGAAGGGCUUCUUUGGCACCUGUUUCUUCUACUCUCACUGGGGGCCAUGGGGGCUUCACGAGGGUGACCUUAAGAGAGAGGAAGAGGUGCUUCCCAGGGGUCACUCCUUUGGGGAGGUUUCUGGACUAGACCAUUCUGGAGACUGCCAGGGACCACUCCCUCUUCCCUAACACAGUCAAGGGAAAACACCCACUCAUCCAACUGGAGCAGCCUCCUCAUUCCCCUUUCAGGCCAUGCAGAGCCGAUGGCUUGUGGGACUGAGGUGGACGGGAGGAGCCAGGGAAGACUUGUUGGCAUCACCCAAGGCAUGUGGGCAAUCAUGCCAGGCCUGGAGUUAGGUGUCUGGGCUUCUGCACUGGCCAGAGAACUGGAUUUUAGCUCUUGGAAGAACCAGGGAGGUGGAUUGACCACCCCAAACCCAGGCAGGCUCUCUGUGAGCUGCUUCCAGCCGGAUGGCACUGGGCAGGGGUCCAAGGAUGGUACACAACUUCUCCUGGGAGUUUUAGGGCCCUGUGCUGCCAGCUCAUCACUAAUCACUUGCCAAUUCCCUGGGAGGAACUUGUCAGCAGGUGGGGUUUCUGCCAGAGUCCAAAGCAAGCGGGCAGCAGGAGAAGCAGUGGGGCUUGGGGAAGUCGGAGCCUCCCGCACCAGGCCACGACAUACCUGGGAGACAGCACGCAAGGCAGCUGGGACCUGAGGUUCCUCCAGGAAAAAGAGGAGACUUCUAAUCUGGGGGAACUACUGCCCCACCCAGGUGGAGGAUGGUGGCUGCAGGGAGACCCCAGACUGAUCAGAACAAAAGGAGUGAUGAGGCUGACCUUUUCUGACUUCAAUCAACUAAAGCUUGAACUCUGUCCACUUUGCCCCAGUUCUAUGCUGAAUCUCCUCUGCUCAAGCCCCUUCAUGAAUAUGCGUACACUGCCCAAGCCCCUUCGAAACUACGCGUGUACCCUUAGCUUAACACUUCCCCAAUUCUGCUGCUUUGCGAAAGGUCCCUGGUGUUCUCCUUACUUGUUGCAAGUAAUUCAUCCACUCUUUGGCUUGAUUGUGUCUUUUGGCUCGCCACCCACCAAGAGGCAAACCCAGCUUUUUGGGAAGGAUAGAGAAGUGAAUGAGCAAACACCCUCUCUGCUACCUGGCAGACCCCCACGACAGGUGAAGUAGGGAAAGUAAUCCCCCAGGGCCUCAACUGGGCCAGGAAGUCUGUGCUGUUGGACUCAGAUCCCACUUGCUGGGGUAUUUUCUCUCAUUUGGCUUCUAAGGCAGCCUCCUUCUGUGAAACAGCUUUCAGAGGCUUGAAAUCUACCACUCCAGUCUCUCCCUCUCUCUCUCUCUCUUUUUUUUUUGUUGCAAAUGUCACAUUAAAGAGAACAAGGCGAUUUAGUCUGCCUGCCUUGUGUCCAUGGUUACUUCUUGCAUCCCUCUCUUCCUCAUACUGCGUGCUCUGAACAUACCAGCCUUAUUUCAGACUUUCAAAUGCACUACCUCAGGCCCUUUGCACAUGCUGUAGCCUCUCCCCACCCCAUCCAUGGCCUCUCACUGAGUUCAGGGUUUAGCUUAUAUGUCAUUUCUGAAAGGAAAUUUGUUAUGCCCACAACCCCUCCUCCCACCUUGAUGUCAGGACUUCCCAUCCCACAUCUCCACAGCACCCUGUACUUGUGCUGGCUGAUUGAUUAAUAUCUGCCUCCCAUCAGAGGAUAGGGCCAUAGUGUGUUUGCUCCCACAGCAUCUCUAGCACCUAUCACGGGCCUUGA